AUUGAACGCUGGCGGCAUGCUUUACACAUGCAAGUCGAACGGUAACAGGGAGCUUGCUCCGCUGACGAGUGGCGAACGGGUGAGUAAUGCGUCGGAACGUGCCGAGUAGUGGGGGAUAACGCAUCGAAAGGUGUGCUAAUACCGCAUACGAACUGAGGUUGAAAGUGGGGGACCUUCGGGCCUCACGCUAUUCGAGCGGCCGACGUCUGAUUAGCUAGUUGGUGAGGUAAAGGCUCACCAAGGCGACGAUCAGUAGCGGGUCUGAGAGGAUGAUCCGCCACACUGGGACUGAGACACGGCCCAGACUCCUACGGGAGGCAGCAGUGGGGAAUUUUGGACAAUGAGCGCAAGCCUGAUCCAGCCAUGCCGCGUGUCUGAAGAGGGCCUUCGGGUUGUAAAGGACUUUUGUCCGGGAGCAAAUGCUGGUGGCUAACAUCCACCGGAGCUGAGAGUACCGGAAGAAUAAGCACCGGCUAACUACGUGCCAGCCGCCGCUGUAAAAC
rnacentral:rRNA from 1 species